CCUACGGGGGGCAGCAGUGGGGAAUAUUGGGCAAUGGGCGAAAGCCUGACCCAGCAACGCCGCGUGAAGGAAGAAGGCCUUCGGGUUGUAAACUUCUUUUAUCAGGGACGAAGGAAGUGACGGUACCUGAUGAAUAAGCCACGGCUAACUACGUGCCAGCAGCCGCGGUAAUACGUAGGUGGCGAGCGUUGUCCGGAUUUACUGGGUGUAAAGGGCGCGUAGGCGGGGAUGCAAGUCAGGUGUGAAAUCUAUGGGCUCAACCCAUAAACUGCACUUGAAACUGUAUCUCUUGAGUGAUGGAGAGGCAGGCGGAAUUCCUAGUGUAGCGGUGAAAUGCGUAGAUAUUAGGAGGAACACCAGUGGCGAAGGCGGCCUGCUGGACAUUAACUGACGCUGAGGCGCGAAAGCGUGGGGAGCAAACAGGAUUAGAUACCCCUGUAGUC
rnacentral:rRNA from 1 species